AGUUUCAACUUCUAUCGAAUACUUCUAUUUUCAGGCGAGUUGACGAGUCAUUAGUCAUAGUGCAUGCAUAUGUCUCUACCAUUAACAUUGAUCUUUGGACAUGUGAAAAAAAAUCAGUAUCUUAUUAAUAAAUUUGUUUUAAGCACUUGUGCAUUUCUUAACAUUGGUAUGUCUUCACGGAGAUCCUAGCCAAAUGAUUUAAAGAAAGCCGAAAUUGACAUUCUCCGAGCUAAAGGAACCUUCAUUUGAAACUUCUAAAUUUCAGGCUCUGUAAAACACAAGAGUUCAGCAGAUUUUGUUAAAUUUACCGUAUCAAAUCGUGCAGGAAUGAAUUGCAGAAUAUAUUUUUGGCUAUACAACUCAUAAUGGCAUUACCUAGGAGAUGGGGAAGCUAAUAUAUUUGGUCUGACUUUUCUCUCGCACUAGGUGGUUGCCUUCUGCCGUGAACGUUUCUCAACAAAUAAAGAAGCUUUUCGUAACAAGAAGUUUGACCUUGUGAUCAAUGAUUUUAACUUUGAAGAAGGCAUGGCAUAUAGUUUUGUUUUGAAGGUUGGCAAGUUAAAGAACUACUUCAAUGAAGUCUUCGAUAACAAUCAUUGGUUAAGGUUCAGGUUUAUACUCCGUGAUGCAUGUCAUGUGGAGGGAUAUUGAUUACCGAGAUAAACUUGAAAGGGAGCAAAAAUAAACUUCAUUGAUGUUGGAUGAAUGACAAUAGAUUCUUCUUUAUGGAAAUAAAAUAAUUGACGUUAUGGGAUUUUCAUUUAUUUAUUUUUAUUUUUGAAGUUCCAUGUAAUAUCAUAAUGAGUGACAAAGUUUUCUUUUUUUUUCCUUUGAAUGUAAGAUGUUGUCAACAAAGCAAAUUUGGUCUA